rnacentral:rRNA from 1 species
GACGAACGCUGGCGGCGUGCCUAAUACAUGCAAGUUGAGCGCUGAAGGUUGGUACUUGUACCAACUGGAUGAGCAGCGAACGGGUGAGUAACGCGUGGGGAAUCUGCCUUUGAGCGGGGGACAACAUUUGGAAACGAAUGCUAAUACCGCAUAAAAACUUUAAACACAAGUUUUAAGUUUGAAAGAUGCAAUUGCAUCACUCAAAGAUGAUCCCGCGUUGUAUUAGCUAGUUGGUGAGGUAAAGGCUCACCAAGGCGAUGAUACAUAGCCGACCUGAGAGGGUGAUCGGCCACAUUAGGACUGAGACGCGGCCCAAACUCCUACGGGAGGCAGCAGUAGGGAAUCUUCGGCAAUGGACGAAAGUCUGACCGAGCAACGCCGCGUGAGUGAAGAAGGUUUUCGGAUCGUAAAACUCUGUUGGUAGAGAAGAACGUUGGUGAGAGUGGAAAGCUCAUCAAGUGACGGUAACUACCCAGAAAGGGACGGCUAACUACGUG